rnacentral:rRNA from 1 species
GACGAACGCUGGCGGCGUGCCUAAUACAUGCAAGUAGAACGCUGAAGGAGGAGCUUGCUUCUCUGGAUGAGUUGCGAACGGGUGAGUAACGCGUAGGUAACCUGCCUGGUAGCGGGGGAUAACUAUUGGAAACGAUAGCUAAUACCGCAUAAGAGUAGAUGUUGCAUGACAUUUGCUUAAAAGGUGCAAUUGCAUCACUACCAGAUGGACCUGCGUUGUAUUAGCUAGUUGGUGGGGUAACGGCUCACCAAGGCGACGAUACAUAGCCGACCUGAGAGGGGGAUCGGCCACACUGGGACUGAGACAAGGCCCAGACUCCUACGGGAGGCAGCAGUAGGGGAUCUUCGGAAAUGGACGGAAGUCUGACCGAGCAACGCCGCGGGAGUGAAGAAGGGUUUCGGAUCGUAAAGCUCUGUUGUAAGAGAAGAACGAGUGUGAGAGUGGAAAGUUCACACUGUGACGGUAUCUUACCAGAAAGAGACGGCUAACUACGUG